rnacentral:lncRNA from 1 species
AAAUCUCAUCGGCGUGAGUCCAGGUCCGCCAAGAACAAUCUUUUCUAGACAGCUGCAGAACUGUAGGAUAUUGAAAGGCUGAGGACAGCAGCAGCAGUUAGAGGGCUGUGCCCAACGAAACUCCAGUCUACUCUUGCUUACUGCUCCAUCUCACCACUUCACACAUCCCGAGGACAGCAUCCUGGAGAGACAGCUCAUGGCAACAGGCACGAACUUUAGCCUCCUAUGAUCUGAUCAUGUGAGCAUGAACAGAGAAAAGGUAAACAGCAGCAAUGCCAACUGCCAGCUAAGGCACCAGUGAGGACAGGAGGACCAGGUGAUUGAGACAAGCAACAGGCAACAGCUACUCACCAACCUGCUGUGACCUUGUGGAGGUAGCACUUGGAGCCUUCCAAGAGCAACAUACCUGACCAUCUUUUUCUUCUGUCUCUUUCUCCACAGACAGCAUUUGGCGCUAGGCAAUCAGCAGAAGAGCCAACCUGCUCUGCAGAAAGACCCUCAGCAAGAGGACACAACAAAUACCAACAACAUGUCGCGGAACGACCAGCGUUACUCUGAGUCGAACUGCUCAGGGGAAAUCUACUACUACUUGUCCAGGAACGUUCCCCAUCCUCGGAUGGUCUGUCACAUGCAAGGAUUAAACAACGCCCCGGUCUGUCUUGUAAGAAGCAUCCUUUCAGGGCAAUACCCGGCCGCUGCCGACACAGUCACCCCCCAGCAAGAAGCUGAUCAAGAACAACAUGUGGGAACAGCAACUGGGAAUGGCAGGCGCAACGCAUCUGCCACCCACCACCUUCCAAGCCUCGAGGCUUUCCUGCAAAGGGAGCCAGGCACUUCACAGCCCACGACACGUGAGUAGGGGCACCAAACCGCCGUGUGAGACAGCAGCAGAGGAGGAACCUGCGCCGCUAAGGGUGCAGCUGGGUCUCAGCCAGGGCACUGUGUCAUUGCAGCUCAGGUCCAGGUAAAGGGAACGUAGAGCAAUGAACAUACAUUCAAAAGAUAAGUAUUUCUUCCCUUCUAUGCGUGUUAGCCACCACAUCUUACAAGAUUUCUCCUCGCUAAUUACCCUGGCAUCUUUAAAGCUUUUAGAGAUUAUAUGCUCACGAGACAUCUAAGAAUUCCCCAAUUAUCAGCAUUAUUCCAUCUGUAAGCAACAUCCUGCAGUAGUGGUUACACAGCACUAUAAGCACUAUCAUGCUUAUAGUGCACAUCUAUGAAAUGCACUUCCUAGGAUUUUCUUCCGAUUUCUUAGGCAUCUUGACAAAUAAUUGCAUUAAUGUACUAUGUGAAGUAGUAGAAGCAAACAGAAAAGGAAAGCAAUACAUCCCCUUAGAGAGAGCUAAAACAUGGCUCAGACAUUUUUGUAAUUAAGAAUGCCCCCCCCCUCCAGUAUAACCUAAGAUGUAUCUUACGGCCUUUCUGUUUCAACUUGAGAAAACGCUCUGUCUGUUAAUUUCCAGAAGGACACGCAGAUGUUCCUGAAAGGAUUCAAAGCAAGCCUACUCCGCCUGAAAAGGUAAGGGAAAAAAAGACACAGCUCUUUAUUUUCGCACACUCUCUCUUGCUUCUUAACACUGGAACCUGAACUGACAGUCUCAGACUACUCAGGAAGACAGCGCAGAACCCAGAAGAGGGAGGUGAGGAUCUCCUGUGUAGAACAUGAGAGCUUGGAAGGGAGAUGGUGUCAAGCAGGCUGAUAACUAAGCUCUAACUGUGUAUCACUUUCAGUUCUGUAACGUCACUGUGCUUUGCUAGCAAGAAAAACGGUCAAACUCAACGAAGAUGGGAAUGCAAUUCACUUUGUUUCAAAACGCUGGGGAAAAACACCAGACAACAAACAAGCACAGGAAAGAGCC